CAAAGCAUUGCGAUGGUCCCUGCGGA
rnacentral:ncRNA from 3 species